CACGUAGGGCGCAAGCGUUGUCCGGAAUUAUUGGGCGUAAAGGGUGCGUAGGCGGCGCGGUAAGUCGGGUGUGAAAUCUCGGAGCUUAACUCCGAAACUGCAUUCGAUACUGCCGUGCUUGAGGACUGGAGAGGAGACUGGAAUUUACGGUGUAGCGGUGAAAUGCGUAGAUAUCGUAAGGAAGACCAGUGGCGAAGGCGGGUCUCUGGACAGUUCCUGACGCUGAGGUGCGAAAGCGUGGGGAGCAAACAGG
rnacentral:rRNA from 1 species